UCCCCUCUUUACUUGUCUUAAUGACGCCUCGAGUUUCAAGCUGCUCCCCUUCGUUUCCUUUCUAUAAAUAGGGUGUUUGUUGCUUGGAUUUCUCAUUCCUCCCUUCUUUCGCGAUGAGCAUCCAGGAUGUCCUCGAGGAUUAUGGCCAUGAGGUGCAGCUUCAGCACGUUGCAUGGGCCUUGUGCCUGCUGAUGCCCACCGAGGUCUCCAACCAUGUGGCCGCGGCAGAGACUCAGCGUCUCAACACUGUGCCGAUAGAUAUCCACCGCCGCCGCUCUCAGUAUCGCCGCUCUGAU
rnacentral:lncRNA from 1 species